rnacentral:rRNA from 1 species
GAUGAACGCUGGCGGCGUGCCUAAUACAUGCAAGUAGAACGCUGAAGGAGGAGCUUGCUCUUCUGGAUGAGUUGCGAACGGGUGAGUAACGCGUAGGUAACCUGCCUGGUAGCGGGGGAUAACUAUUGGAAACGAUAGCUAAUACCGCAUGACAACAGUUAUUGCAUGAUAACUGUUUAAAAGGGGCAACUGCUCCACUACCAGAUGGACCUGCGUUGUAUUAGCUAGUUGGUGAGGUAACGGCUCACCAAGGCGACGAUACAUAGCCGACCUGAGAGGGGGAGCGGCCGCACUGGGACUGAGACAGGGCACAGACGCCUACGGGAGGCAGCAGGAGGGAAACUUCGGCAAUGGACGGAAGUCUGACCGAGCAACGCCGCGUGAGUGAAGAAGGUCUCCGGAUCGUAAAGCUCUGUUGUAAGAGAAGAACGAGUGUGAGAGUGGAAAGUUCACACUGUGACGGUAUCUUACCAGAAAGGGACGGCUAACUACGUG